AGAAUGGGCGAUGACGAAGGUGUCGCGGGUCCCUGCCGGGGACGCCGCGGUGAAACGGGAAACAGGUGCGAAGCCUGUGCUGCCCCCGCAACGGUCAGCGGACCAGGACGUCUCGGGCAAGGCCAUCCAUCGGCCUUGCAGCCACUGCGCCUCGCGGCGCGGGAAGGCGAGUCGUCCGGCCACACGCGUUCCCCCACGCGUGCGGCCAUUCCGCGAGCCCGGAGACCGGCCUUCGGAACCACUCGGUC
rnacentral:ncRNA from 2 species